CCGGAAAGGUCUCUGACUGUGAAAUGCAGGCCUGGGGAUGCUGCAGAAGAAGUGGGCCGGCAAGGAGAGGCCUGGCUGCAAGGUAAGUGUGUGCGGGGAACGUGAGGCAGCUCUGCCCCCCACCUCCGCCCUAGCUUGAUUUUUAGGUGUGUGCCUCAUCCCAAAACUAGAGCUUAUUUUUGGGGUAGGACUUAUAUUAGGCCCAUGCCCAAAAAUCAAGCUAGGGCUUAUUUUGGGGGUAGAACUUACUUUUGGGAAAAUACGGUAUUUUAUUAUCUCAACAAACUUGGUAAUAAUUGUUCAAAGAUAUUCAAGAAAUUUCUGAACUAGUUCAGGCCACUUUAUUUAAAAAAAAAUAAUCCUAUCUUUUUAUCCUAACUCUAAAACAACAGAAUAAUAACAGCAACUGUCAUAGACAAAAAUGCUCUAGGAGAAAAAAUCCUGAAUAGUUAAAACUUGGCAAGAUUUGCUCUGAGUAUAUAUUUCAAUGUCACGGUUCUUAUUCAUGAUUUUCCUUUGAUAAUCAAAGAAAUGUUUUAAGAAAAUUGAGGUUAAAAUAAGUUUGUCGAUUCUCUAACACCCAAAAUCACUUUAUACACAAGAUAUCAUUUCUAUCUUUAAGUUUCUGUAGGAAAACUAUAUGAGGCAAUUUCUUGGCAGCAAGCUAAUGUCUUAGAGUUUAGUUCUAGUUUACUAGCAGAAGGCAGUCUUUCUAUAUGUAUUGAAAACACAAUAUAAACCACUGCUUACCUUUUCUCUGAUGUUUUGUUAAGUAUGUUAUCUAAAUCUCUAAAACAGACUCCCUAGACUGACAGCAACCAAAAAUGUUUAUUUCAUGAGGAAUGCUGGCAGAUUCCAUUGUAGAAUGCACCUAAGUCUUAGUUUUAGGUCCCUCUUUAAUAGCUGGAGACUUAUACUAUAAUAAAGAGAACAGUGGCUUCAGGAAUUCAAGACAAAGAUAUAGGUCAACUAAAGAAUGUUCCCACAUUUUACUACUUAUUUUAUAUGUUUCAGGGCAUCCAGUGAUGUGAGAAAUAUAUGAUAAAUCAUUCAACUGAAAUAGGAGAGGAAGCGUUUGUCUGCUAACCCAUCUAAUUGGGUAAUGCCUUGUUAUGAAUGCCAAUGAGUACAACACAGGACAUUUGCUACUGUUAUUAUUAUAAGUAUGGCCCUGAAUCUGAGAGGUCUGGACUGAUGUCUGAUGGCCCAAAUCUAGCAUCACUGCUCAUAUAGGCAUAUAUUUGACAUGCUGAAGUUCCCAGGAAUCAAAAGAAGUGACUUGGAGUGAAGUAAAAGAGAGAAGGUCAAUUCUUAGAAGAUAUUGUGUGACCCAGGACACUGAUGGAUCAUAGUCCAGUUUGGAUGGAAUUGGUCGAUGAAAAAGAGGAGA